ensembl:lncRNA
GGGGGACAGAAAGCGGGCGGUAGAGAGAGGCGGAAGGUUUUCGGGCCGCCUUCGUCUCAGCAGUGUGCCUACAGCGAGCAUCUCGAUGUCACGUGUAUCGUUUUCUGUCUCGGGUUUUGAGGCAUACGCACGCUAAAAGCCCUGUUAGAAAUAAUUGAUGACGGGAUGAAAAUCUCACGAAUGUUCUAUUUGCUUACCCGUUGCAAUUACACGGGAAGAAGCAGGGCUCCCUGCUGCAGCCUGAAUUAGCUGCUGCCCAAUCAGCGAGUGGCAGCACCUGCAGCUCUUGGGGCUGCAGCCUCCAGUCCCAUCAGAGGGCUCGGUGCCGGACAUCUGCGUGCCCAACUGCUGAUGUGGCAAGGCCAUGAGGUGGGGAGGGAUGUGCUGUGUUCUGAUGGCUGUGCUGAGGGUCCCUUCCCCCAGCAGCCAAGCCUUGCUGCCCAUCAGCAUUCUCUCCUUGCUCUUUGCAGACCCUUUGGCGGCGGCAGCAUUGGGUUUCCCUGCACCCCAAACUCUGCGCCAACAGAUGUCACAGGUGGCACUAGGGCUCCGUUUGGCUGCAAAACUGGGCAAGGCCAGCUGGGGACAGGCCCUGGUGCCAGGAGGCACCAGAAAUUUCCUGACGUUCCUCAAAGAGGGGCAGGCAGCUGAGGCCGUUGCAAGAGGAGGAGUCCCGCAAGCCUUCCCUCUAUGGGGCUGAGCGUGCUGACCCCAACCCCGCUCCCACGCCAGCGUCAGCCCCGGGGAUAACAGAGCCUAGGUAAAGUAUAACAAGGAGAAGCUUGCACAUGCCCUUUGGGAGGGCGAGCCGUGUCAUUAGGGCAGCGGUCAGGGGGGGACGCGGGCUGUGUGCCCUCGGACUGCCAAAGGCCAACGCGGGACGCGGAGCGGAGCCAAUGAGCGGCGCCAGGGCCGGAGCCACCCCGCGCCCCCGCCCGCCUUCGUGCUCGGGUUUCAGCCGCUGUGUUUGCGGAUGGGGAGAUGCUUUAAGGGCUGAGCGGCGCGGGGCGGGAGGCAGCGGUGAGUGGAGUCCUCCUGGUUACAGCACGGGGUUCCCCGGGAGCUCGCCAACCCCACGCGAUGGCGUGUUCUCCUUGUCACCUCCGUGGGUGAUGGGCUGACGGUUGGACUAGAAGAUCUUCGUGUUUUCUCCAACCUGAGUGAUUCUGUGAUACAUUAAAUGAAGCACCGCGGGACUGUCCCCUGGGCUCCCGGCUGUGCUGGUGGCCCCGUGUGGCACUGAGCAUCCCUGCUGGGCUCCUCUCCUCAGGAUCCACUGCUCUUCCACCACAGCGAUGCUGCACCGUGCCACAAACCCCCGGGUGGAAUGGACAUCACAGCUGCCCCAGGGCUCGGCGUGCUGCAGCUCUUAGCCCACAGCAGAGACAGGGAUGGAGCUGCUCCAGCAUAGGCUCUGCUGGUCCAGCCUGCUUUUGCAGCCUGCUCUUCUCCAAAGCUGCAUCCCUGAAGAUGCUGAAGUCAGGCUGUUAUUGCAGAGGAAACCUGUGGAGAGAGACACGUGGGGUUUGAGGAUUAGCUGCUGAAACAGAUGGGAAUUUCCCGGAGCAAGGAGCUGAGGAGGGCAGGGAGGGCUCCUAUACAGCGGGGCUGCUGCCAGCCACGUGGGCUGUGUGAGGACCCCGGGAUGCCCACUGCCUCCCCACAGCGCUGCUGCUGACUCACAUCUCCGCGGGGAGCGGCACACGGCAGCUGUGCGCCCACCCCCUGCACUGCGCACCAGAGCUGGGCACCGGCAUGCUGCAGGGCUGGCAGCCCGUCCUGUUUGGGGACGGUGUCUCCGUGGGGUCCCAGAAGCACUGUCUCUCAUAGAGGCUGCUCCUUGCACACUGCUUUGUGCCCCGAUGCCGCCUGGUGCAUCUCCCACAAGCAGUUCGUGCAGCACUGGCACCGGGAGGCUGUCUGCCUGCAGGGCCCGACGGGAGCUGUGCCGUAUGCUCCGUGUCCCUCCUGCUUACUCUCUCCCUCCAGCUCUUGCACUGCACUUGCAGCAUGUGUCAUAUCCCAUUGAUGUCACCCGCCGUCCCCUGCCUCGUCCCUGCCUGCAGGGCUGCCUGUGCCAGUGGCUGCAAUAAGGGCACCCUGGGGCUCCGCAUCCCCCUGUGUUGGUCCCAGGGCAUAGGCAAUGCCAGCUGGGGGCUGAGCCCCGCAGCCAGGCCUGAACACUGCAAGCAGCGGUUCUGCACAUAGCAACAGAGAGAAUGCAGCACGAUCACAGCUCACGCUCCUUCCUGCCGCUUGGAAGUGUCUAGAGAGCUGAAAAAGCUGCAAGACGUUCUUGCUGCCAUCCUUCUCCCUGCUAGCUUCUUCAUGCUCUGGCUGUGUUUUGAGCCCCCUUUCUGGGGGGGCACAGCACUUCCCCAGACCAAUGGAUACCGAUUUGGCGUGAUGAGGGCUGCAGACAUCCCGCAGCAUGCUGCCCGCCGCGCAGGGCUGGCUGACUCAUCGCCAUGCAGCAUGCAAUUACAAAGGCAAGUGCAGGCCCCUACUGCUUUGCACAGGUAUCUGUGUCAGCCGGGGCUAUUUCCAUCUCUCCCGUGCACUCUCGGCUCAUUAGGAGGGGAAGGAACACAGCCACAGAGCUCACCUGCCUGCCACAGGACUGGGCAUAAUAUUCCAGUGAGCAGAGAGCCAGAAGGGGAAUUACAACCGAGUGACACAAUGGGGGGAGGAGGCAGCAGGGUGCAUUGCCCACACAUCCCACAUACUCACAGCUGCACACGCAGACCGAGCAGGGGUGUGGAGGUGCACCGUGGUGCAGAGCACCAUUGCCAUGAACUCAGAGGUUCCUGGCCGGAAUCCAAGCGAGGGCUGCAGCCUUCCAUCUGCAAGCACCGUUUGCUACAGGGGUUUAGCAACCGGGGCUGUCACAACUGCAGCAGCUGCAGAACCCUCGGCCAUGAGUGGGAGCAGCUCUGCCGUUGCGUCACUGCUUUGUGCAGUGUAGCACAGGGGAUGGAAUGCCCGGCUGCAGUGUGAGGCAGCGUGUGCUGAGCAAAGCAGUGCCCCAUCCUGUUCUCAUACAAGUGCACUUCUCGUGUGUACUUGUUAUUUUCUAACUAUUUGGUAAUGUUCAUUUCAUUUACUGCACGCAUAAGUGAGCAAAUAUGACAUAUACAAAUGUCGGGAAGUAAUUCAGUUUGUUAAGCUUCUUCAUUAAAAGAACUCUGUAUUAUUAAAGUAUCUACACUGUCAUGGGCUGGUAUCCCAUUAGCAACCUUAAUAAGAAAUGCUGUUUAUCCAUUCAGAAACAGAUCUCUGGGGCAUGCAUUUGGCAGCGUGCGUUGAGUCAGUGGUGGCAACCGGCAGCAUCUCUGUGUGCCUGGUCACAGGACAGCGUUUCCCACCCUGAGCUCAUGACCAGGCCAAAAACUUCACCUGC